ACAGUACAAGACCGAACAGCACAACACAGGGCAAAACAACACUGGACAAUUUUUUAUUGCAUUGAAUAAUUUUUUGUUUUAUAAGAUUUUUGGGGGACGAAAUGUUAUUUUGAAUUUUUAGAUAAUUUGUACGUGGGACAAAAAGUUGUGCUGUGGUUUAGUGAAGGACAAAAAUAUGAGUUUUUGUCUUGUCCUUUGCAUCCAAUUUGUACUGU
rnacentral:lncRNA from 1 species